rnacentral:rRNA from 1 species
AUGGAGGAGUUCUCCACAUUUUUAAAUCAUGAAGAGCUCUCUAUUGCUUCCACCUCUGAUUACUUGCAUACCCCAACAUCUUUCACUUCACCAACAUGUGGCAUACCACAAGGUAAUGACAUGGUGAGUGAAGAAAUAUCCUGUAAUGAUGGUGUUAAGCUCAUUUGUGAUGAUAUGCUUGAUCUCCCAUGUUGCCAUGAUAGAAAUAUCGUGAUUCCCUCUAGUUCUAUUUGUGAAACUAACCAUGUAGAGGAAAUCAAGAAAAAUGAGGCAUGCUUGGUUGAUGAAGAACCCUCUUCUCCAAAAGAAUCAUCAUCAACCCCUUGUGUUCACAUGUGCCUCAUGGCAAGAGGUAAUGACGAGGUAUCAUCUUCUCUUAGUGACAAUGAUGAUAGUUGUAAUGAGGAAGAUGAUGAAGUCUUGACCCAAAAUCUCUAUGAGAUUGGGAAAACUCUUCGUAGAGCUAAAAAUAACACUUAUAAAAGGUUCCAAGAUGUUCUUGCUUGCUUUCAAAAACGUAAUGACUUAUUUCUUUACGAGCAAGCAAAAAGUGAACAACUUGAACAUGAACUUGCUAUGGCUCAUCAAUGUCUUAGUGACUUGAGGUCUUUAAAAGAAGAGAUUGAAGUUACGCAUUGUAAACUUAAAGAGGAUUUUGAGCCCCUUGACCUUGACUACAAGAAGGUCAAAGGAGAGCUCAUCAAACUCUCUAAGUCUCAUGAGGAACUUCAAGCUACUCAUGCGGAGUCCCUAGCUUCUACAUGCUCCUCUCAUAUUGAUAAUAAUGCUUGUGCUACUAACUCUAUCUUGUGUGAAGCAUCGAUAUUGAAAGAAAAUGUUGACCUAAGGACUCAACUUGAUUUGCUAACUAGCAACUAUGGGAAAUUGGAAGAAAGUUAUGAAAAGCUCUCGGGCACUCAUGAGGAUCUUAUAAUCUCUCAUGAUGGGCUAAAGUUAGCUCAUGAGGCUAUGUGGACCAAGGUAAAAUCGUGUGAGUCUCAUGUGGAUAUUAGCACAUCUUCUACUCGAAAUGCCUUAUUGCCAUGUGCUAGUCCUUGCAAUUCCUCUCUACAUGAUAUUGGUACAUCUUGUGAUGAAUUGCUCACCAUGCCUUGUUGCUCUAACAAUGAAGUUUCUACUUCCUCUAGUUCUUUUGUUAAUACUAGCCUUGUAGAGGAAAAUAAAGAGCUCAAGGCCCAAGUCACCAGUUUGAAGAAAGACUUGGAAAAAUAUUGUGAUAAUAUCUUGAGUGUGCAAAAGGACCCUCAAGACAAAAUUGGACUUGAUUUCAUCUCCAACAAGAAGAAGUCCAAGAACAAGAAGAAGGGACGAGAUCAAGUCAAGAAUUCGGCCAACAUUAUUUGCUUCAAGUCCAAGAAUGUUGGACACCAUGUGAGAUCUUGUCCAUUAAAGAAGAAGGCUUCAAGUGUGAAGCAUCAAGGGAAGUGGCCUCAAGUUCAAUAUCAAGAUAAUGAAAGGCCUCUUCCCAUGCCUAACCAAGAUAAUGCUCUCCAAGUUGAAAAGGUAAAGAAGAAGAGAAAGGGGAGCACAUGUUGCUAUAUUUGCCGUAAGAAGGGACACAUAGCUUCAUCUUGUUCCAACGGUAACAUAUCUAAGCCUCCUAUAGUCAAUAAUCAUUAUUCGCUAAAGAAGGAUAUUGUUGGCAGUGUGUUUGCCAAGUUUGUGGGUUCCCAGAGAAGUUUGAAAGUGGACAAGACCAUUUGGGUUGCCAAGCCUAUUGUUACUAACUUCUUAGGACCCAACUUGGUUGGGGACCAUCAAGCACAAACUUGA